UGGUUCAGAUGGUAAAGCAUCUGCCUGCAAUGCAGGAGACCCAGGUUCCAUCCCUGG
rnacentral:tRNA from 1 species